CUUGCUCCUUUGACGUUAGCGGCGGACGGGUGAGUAACACGUGGAUAACCUACCUAUAAGACUGGGAUAACUUCGGGAAACCGGAGCUAAUACCGGAUAACAUAUUGAACCGCAUGGUUCAAUAGUGAAAGGCGGCUUUGCUGUCACUUAUAGAUGGAUCCGCGCCGUAUUAGCUAGUUGGUAAGGUGACGGCUUACCAAGGCAACGAUACGUAGCCGACCUGAGAGGGUGAUCGGCCACACUGGAACUGAGACACGGUCCAGACUCCUACGGGAGGCAGCAGUAGGGAAUCUUCCGCAAUGGGCGAAAGCCUGACGGAGCAACGCCGCGUGAGUGAUGAAGGUCUUCGGAUCGUAAAACUCUGUUAUCAGGGAAGAACAAAUGUGUAAGUAACUGUGCACAUCUUGACGGUACCUGAUCAGAAAGCCACGG
rnacentral:rRNA from 1 species